rnacentral:lncRNA from 1 species
AUGGCAAAUAGUUGGUUAGAAAUUCAUUACUUCAGUUACUUUUUGUGUUUCUGGGUCAUUUGUGCUGAAAGUGAAGAAAAUUGGUGAAUAAUCCACUAACUACGAAGCUGAAAUGAGAAUCGGAUCGUCACGUAGCUGAACUGGAAUGGAAAUCGAAGAAUUAUGAUGAAAUUGGACCUUGGGGCUACGCGACAAAGAUCUGGCUUCACCGUGGCAUAGCGCGACAAUAUAAUAAUCAUUUCUGCAAUUUCAUGCCGUCACGUCGCGCGACCACCAAUAGGUUUUCCCGUCACGUAGCGCGACGGGGUUGAAAGUCGGCACAAAUUUGCUGGAUGAUCAGGGUUACACUAUAAAUAAACAUUAACUUCAAACAGCAAACAACUUACGAAUCAGCAAGCUUUUGGACGAAUUUUGGGUAUUCUUGCAAGCAUUUUUUAGAUCUCGGAGUUGUCGGUUGAAACUUUGAAGCCUAGGAAGUCAUCCUUGUCGAGAUUCUGCAAUUCGGGUACUAGGCGUAAUUGGCUGGGAUUUCUCCUUAGCAUCAU